rnacentral:rRNA from 1 species
GAUGAACGCUAGCGGCAGGCCUAAUACAUGCAAGUCGAACGGUGUCUUCGGACAUAGUGGCGCACGGGUGCGUAACACGUAUGCAACCUACCUUACAUUGGGGGAUAGCCUUUCGAAAGGGAGAUUAAUACCGCAUAAGACAGUAGCUGGGCAUCCAGCAGCUGUUAAAGAUUUAUCGAUGUAAGCUGGGCAUGCGUCCAAUUAGCUAGUUGGUGAGGUAACGGCUCACCAAGGCAAUGAUUGGUAGGGGAACUGAGAGGUCAAUCCCCCACACUGGCACUGAGAUACGGGCCAGACUCCUACGGGAGGCAGCAGUAGGGAAUAUUGGGCAAUGGACGCAAGUCUGACCCAGCCAUGCCGCGUGCAGGAUGAAGGCGUUAUGCGUUGCAAACUGCUUUUAUACAGGAAGAAACGACUCUUGCGAGAGGCAUUGACGGUACUGUAUGAAUAAGCACCGGCUAACUCCGUGCCAGCCGCCGCAGUAA